UAUGACAGACCUUGAUUUGAUCUUUUCCAUUUGUUCCAAAUUCCGGCCACACAUUAGCAACAUUUUCAUCGAGCUUGACUUUUCUGCAACACACCAUGCUGUAUUUUAUUAGGAAACUACGGACUAUUUUGAGUUCAAGAAUUUCAAGGAAAAACGCCAUGCAGUUUGCAAAACUUUUUGGAUCAUUACUGACCAUCUGAUCAGGUAUAUUUAAACCAUAUCUCCUUGGUGUAAUAAUUCAAUCUCAUAUUCUAUGCUGAACUUUCUUAAUUAUUUGUGCGGGACAGAAUUUCUCAUCAAAUCACAUUCUAUACUCAAUUUGAUGCUCAUGAAUAAAGUGGCAAGGACUUUUCACAAUAGCCUUC
rnacentral:misc_RNA from 1 species